GGGGGUGCCCCGGUUUCGACUGGUACGAUUCGGGGUGCAGGCCGCAGGUGGAGCGCUCAUCUCCUGAUUGGGCAAAACAUUUAACUGCCAACAAUAAUGUCAGUUACAAUUACGCCUUAGCUGCGUAAUUGCGUGGAACCGUUCCGCCGCUCUGAGGGACGGCUUCCGCGUCGCAAACGGAGCUGGUCAAGCUGCCGCUUCCGAAGACAGCUUGAUGAGAUUUUCGGAAUACGGGCGGAUCGCGCGCUGUUUAGCCAAGUCCGCCCCGACAAGUUAAUAGACAGCUAAACCUGUAGACGUUUGUGUUUCGCGUAUUAGGACGCGGGUUCGACUCCCGCCACCUCCAUAG
rnacentral:tmRNA from 1 species